rnacentral:rRNA from 1 species
GUCUAUGGCCAUACCAUUCUAAACGUGCCUGAUCUUGUCUGAUCUCAUGGAGCUAAGCAGGGUCAGGCCUGGUUAGUACUUGGAUGGGAGGCUGCCUGGGAAUACUGGGUGCUGUAGGCU